rnacentral:tRNA from 1 species
GUUUAAAUAGCUUAAUUUAAAAGCUUUUUAUUGAAGAUGAAAAAAUGAUAAUUAUUUAUCUUUAAACA